CCCUUAGAUGUCCUGGGCUGCACGCGCGCUACACUGAUGUGUCCAGUAAGCACCUAACCUCUUCCGAAAGGAACGGGUAACCUUUGCAAAGCACAUCGUGAUGGGGAUAGAUUAUUGCAAUUAUUAGUCUUGAACGAGGAAUUCCUAGUAAGCACAAGUCAUCAGCUUGUGUUGAUUACGUCCCUGCCCUUUGUACACACCGCCCGUCGCUCCUACCAAUUGAAUGUUCCGGUGAGCUCUUCGGACUGCGCGGUCUGCAGUUUCUGCGUUCCGUGCGGAAAGUUGCGCAAACCUUAACAUUUAGAGGAAGGAGAAGUCGUAACA
rnacentral:rRNA from 1 species